rnacentral:lncRNA from 1 species
ACUUUCUCCAGCAGCAUCACUACCCAAUGGCCACCUAAGGGAUGGAGAUGUUCCAGAGUCAGGUUGGAGGGUCCUGUGGACAGAGCUAUGAUCUUUCUUGAAAGCUGUGUGAGUGAACGCAGAUUGGCACAAGGUGCUAUGCAGAAUAAUUAAAACCUAUCAUCUAGAUUAUUCAUGCGAUAGAAACCUACCACAGGGGCACGUUGUCCUAGAAACAGAGAGUUUCUGUUCUCUUCCCCACACGUGGAAUGUCCCGCAUCAUAGACAAGUUCUUAAGCUGAGGCAGCCUCCGCUGGUAAGAGGUUCUGUAACUGGCCAUGGCAGGUUUUCCUUUACCCCAGAACAACCAGCAAGAGGCCGAGAAUGUGAGAACAAGGGGAGGAGGUUUUGGUUCGCAAAGGGCAGGCUGCACCCUUCCUUGGUUAGGGGGCUCACCCUUCAGAUAAGCCCAGGGCUACAUGUGACCCAUGGACAUCCCAAACUGAGGUAAGGUGAUUUCUAACGAUGCCACAAAAAUGAAAACAGAGCUUAGAAGCCAAUGCACAAUCAUCAUUCAUUUAUAAUGUUUAUUUCCUAAGAGGAAUUGCAAUUGAGAGCACAAGAAUUAGUGCUGUGAUAUUUACUUGGGGCACAUUUGGUAGCUGUGUUUUAUUAACUUUUUUACUAGGCAGUCACUGUUUUUGCUGACCCUUCCCCACACCCCCUGCAUGGUCACAUAGUUGGGCCCUUUCUCAGCAGGCUUGAGCCUUUCUUGGAAUUACGGUCCCUCUGGAACAGAGUGACACAGUAAUCACUUAGAAUUUGGUUCUUCAGGACAGCCUGGUGUGAGGAGUCCUUUCGGGCAGCAUUCCUUUGCUUUGAUCUCUUUAGUGGGAAGUUUAAUGAACUCCCUCAUUAUAUUUUGUCCAUUGCAGAUCUGCAUUUAUCAUUCAGACUUUGCUCCCCCUGGCCUCUGCCUUUCCCCUCCCUUAGGGCAAAACUGAAGAAGGAAAACAAAAUGGAAACGAGGCUCCCACCUCCCCAGGUGCAGAUGUUGGCCACAGCUGUUAUACUAAAGCUGUCGCUGCAUUUUCCCCUUCCUGUCCCCACCACCGCCUCUCUCUGUGUGCUCUGGGCACGUCCUCAGCAGCUCUGGGCCAAGUCUUUCCUAAAUUGAAUGCCAAUUUUUAAAAGGCUUGUUCCCCAUUGUGCUUGAAGGCACAUUUGAGCAGAGCUCGGAAGCAGAGAAGAGAACUUCCAUGAGCCUCGGGCAGUCAGCUGUGAGACGGGGUGGGGAACAGAUCCGUAAUCUCUGAGGAUGAGAGUGACGGUGAUCACUCUUGAGCCAUCUUCCCAGAUCUUGUUUCAAGUUGCCAGACACCUUACAUGAAUUGACUUGUCUAAUCCUUGCCAUCGCCUUGUGAUAUUGGUAACUUUACGGUCCUUGUUAUAAAGAUGACUCAAACCUGGCACAGAAGUAACCUGCUCCAGGGCACAGAGCUUGUGAGUGG